rnacentral:lncRNA from 1 species
CCUUUUGCUGUUGUUGUUGCCUCUGAUUUUUCUGUUGUGGCUGCCUGUUAUUGUAGAUGUUGGUAGCAUAAGCUUGAGGCUCAUCAUGAGUAACAGGGUGCUGCAAGGAAGGACAUGCAUCUGUAUAGUGGUCACUAGAAGGACAUAUAGCACACAGUCGUGCAACAGAUGUAGAUGAAGGUGCUGGUCUCUGGUUGGAUGCCAGCUGUGUCACCAAACUCACAA